AGAUCAUUAUUUCAUUAUCAUUGUUCAUUGUUCUUGUGUAAGCGUCACGUCAUGCAUUGUUCUUAACAAAAUCGCCAAAAUGCCGGCGUCAUUUUUGUGAGGAAAAUGGUGGAAAUAGAUUUAUGGAUAUUAGCAGAAAAACUGAUCCUACUAUGCAUCCAGUGCGGUAUCGUCAAUGUCGGAUCGUUAUUAUCGGUAAAGUUAAGAGUAUGUUGGGAGUUAAAAUACAUAAAAG
rnacentral:lncRNA from 1 species